GAGGUUGUGGCUCAGCGGUAGAACACUUGACUAGCAUGCAGGAGGCACUGCGUUUGAUCCUCAGCACCACA
rnacentral:tRNA from 1 species